UGGCUCAGAUUGAACGCUGGCGGCAGGCCUAACACAUGCAAGUCGAGCGGUAACAUUUCUAGCUUGCUAGAAGAUGACGAGCGGCGGACGGGUGAGUAAUGCUUGGGAACAUGCCUUUAGGUGGGGGACAACAGUUGGAAACGACUGCUAAUACCGCAUAAUGUCUACGGACCAAAGUGGGGGACCUUCGGGCCUCACGCCUAAAGAUUGGCCCAAGUGGGAUUAGCUAGUUGGUGAGGUAAUGGCUCACCAAGGCGACGAUCCCUAGCUGGUUUGAGAGGAUGAUCAGCCACACUGGGACUGAGACACGGCCCAGACUCCUACGGGAGGCAGCAGUGGGGAAUAUUGCACAAUGGGCGCAAGCCUGAUGCAGCCAUGCCGCGUGUGUGAAGAAGGCCUUCGGGUUGUAAAGCACUUUCAGUAAGGAGGAAAGGUUGGAUGUUAAUAGCAUUACAGCUGUGACGUUACUACAGA
rnacentral:rRNA from 1 species